rnacentral:ncRNA from 1 species
AUAAUGGUACUCCUGCUUCGGCAGCUCCGGGCGAUCCCCGGAGGGGUGGAACUCCCGUGA